rnacentral:rRNA from 1 species
UGGCCGCGGUAAUUUGACCGUGCAAAGGUAGCAUAAUUAUUAGUCUUUUAAUUGAAGGCUUGAAUGAAUGAUUGGAUGAAAAAUUUACUUUAUUAAUUUAAAUUAUUUAAUUUAUGAUCUAAGUAAAAAUCCUUAGAUAAAUGAAUGGGACGAGAAGACCCUAUAGAGUUUUAUUUUUUUUUUUAUUAUAAAAUUCUAGAAUUAAUAUUUUUAUAAUAAUAAAAAAUUUUUGAUUGGGGUGAUCUUAAAAAUUAUUAAACUUUUAAUUAAUAUUUCAUUAAUCUAUGUUGAAUUGAUCCAAAAAUUUUUGAUUACAUGAUUAAAUUACCUUAGGGAUAACAGCGUUAUUAAUUUGAAGAGUUCAAAUCGAUAAAUUAGUUUGCGACCUCGAUGUUGGAUUAAGAAAAAAUUUUGAAGUAGUAUUUAAAAUAAUGGGUCUGUUCGACCUUUAAAUUCU